GAUGAACGCUAGCUACAGGCUUAACACAUGCAAGUCGAGGGGAAACGGCAUUGAGUGCUUGCACUCUUUGGACGUCGACCGGCGCACGGGUGAGUAACGCGUAUCCAACCUUCCCAUUACUGUGGGAUAACCUGCCGAAAGGCAGACUAAUACCGCAUAGUCUUCGAUGACGGCAUCAGAUUUGAAGUAAAGAUUUAUCGGUAAUGGAUGGGGAUGCGUCUGAUUAGCUUGUUGGCGGGGUAACGGCCCACCAAGGCGACGAUCAGUAGGGGUUCUGAGAGGAAGGUCCCCCACAUUGGAACUGAGACACGGUCCAAACUCCUACGGGAGGCAGCAGUGAGGAAUAUUGGUCAAUGGACGGAAGUCUGAACCAGCCAAGUAGCGUGCAGGAUGACGGCCCUAUGGGUUGUAAACUGCUUUUGUAUGGGGAUAAAGUUAGGGACGUGUCCCUAUUUGCAGGUAUCAUACGAAUAAGGACCGGCUAAUUCCGUGCCAGCAGCCGCGGUAAUACGGAAGGUCCAGGCGUUAUCCGGAUUUAUUGGGUUUAAAGGGAGCGUAGGCUGGAGAUUAAGUGUGUUGUGAAAUGUAGACGCUCAACGUCUGAAUUGCAGCGCAUACUGGUUUCCUUGAGUACGCACAACGUUGGCGGAAUUCGUCGUGUAGCGGUGAAAUGCUUAGAUAUGACGAAGAACUCCGAUUGCGAAGGCAGCUGACGGGAGCGCAACUGACGCUUAAGCUCGAAGGUGCGGGUAUCAAACAGG
rnacentral:rRNA from 1 species